AGAGUUUGAUCCUGGCUCAGGACGAACGCUGGCGGCGUGCUUAACACAUGCAAGUCGAGCGGAAAGGCCCUUUCGGGGGUACUCGAGCGGCGAACGGGUGAGUAACACGUGAGUAACCUGCCUCUGGCUUUGGGAUAACCCUCGGAAACGGGGGCUAAUACCGGAUAUUCAUUCUCGCAGGCAUCUGUGGGGUUGGAAAGUUUUUCGGCCAGGGAUGGGCUCGCGGCCUAUCAGCUUGUUGGUGGGGUAAUGGCCUACCAAGGCUUCGACGGGUAGCCGGCCUGAGAGGGCGACCGGCCACACUGGGACUGAGACACGGCCCAGACUCCUACGGGAGGCAGCAGUGGGGAAUAUUGCGCAAUGGGCGGAAGCCUGACGCAGCGACGCCGCGUGGGGGAUGACGGCCUUCGGGUUGUAAACCUCUUUCAGCAGGGACGAAGCGCAAGUGACGGUACCUGCAGAAGAAGCACCGGCCAACUACGUGCCAGCAGCCGCGGUAAUACGUAGGGUGCAAGCGUUGUCCGGAAUUAUUGGGCGUAAAGAGCUCGUAGGCGGUUCGUCGCGUCGGCUGUGAAAACCUGAGGCUCAACCUCAGGCCUGCAGUCGAUACGGGCGGACUUGAGUUCGGCAGGGGAGACUGGAAUUCCUGGUGUAGCGGUGAAAUGCGCAGAUAUCAGGAGGAACACCGGUGGCGAAGGCGGGUCUCUGGGCCGAUACUGACGCUGAGGAGCGAAAGCGUGGGGAGCGAACAGGAUUAGAUACCCUAGUAGUCC
rnacentral:rRNA from 1 species